rnacentral:misc_RNA from 1 species
GAUGAAGAACGCAGCGAAAUGCGAUACGUAAUGUGAAUUGCAGAAUUCAGUGAAUCAUCGAAUCUUUGAACGCACAUUGCGCCCCUUGGUAUUCCGAGGGGCAUGCCUAUUCGAGCGUCAUUAUCACCCCUCAAGCCUAGCUUGGUGUUGAGGCCUGCUGUCAAGGCAGCCUCUAAAAUCAGUGGCAGUGCUGUCAGGCUCUAAGCGUAGUAAAUCUAAUCGCUAUAGACACCUGGUGGACACUCGCCAGAACCCCCCCAUUUUUUAAUGAUUGACCUCGGAUUAGGUAGGGAUACCCGCUGAACUUAAGCAUAUCAAUAAGCGGAGGA